rnacentral:rRNA from 1 species
GAUGAACGCUGACAGAAUGCUUAACACAUGCAAGUCAACUUGAAUUUGGGUUUUUAACUUAAGUUUGGGUGGCGGACGGGUGAGUAACGCGUAAAGAACUUGCCUCACAGCUAGGGACAACAUUUGGAAACGAAUGCUAAUACCUAAUAUUAUGAUAAUAGGGCAUCCUAUAAUUAUGAAAGCUAUAAGCGCUGUGAGAGAGCUUUGCGUCCCAUUAGCUAGUUGGAGAGGUAACUGCUCACCAAGGCGAUGAUGGGUAGCCGGCCUGAGAGGGUGAUCGGCCACAAGGGGACUGAGACACGGCCCUUACUCCUACGGGAGGCAGCAGUGGGGAAUAUUGGACAAUGGACCAAGAGUCUGAUCCAGCAAUUCUGUGUGCACGAUGAAGUUUUUCGGAAUGUAAAGUGCUUUCAGUUGGGAAGAAAGAAAUGACGGUACCAACAGAAGAAGUGACGGCUAAAUACGUGCCAGCAGCCGCGGUAAUACGUAUGUCACGAGCGUUAUCCGGAUUUAUUGGGCGUAAAGCGCGUCUAGGUGGUUAUGUAAGUCUGAUGUGAAAAUGCAGGGCUCAACUCUGUAUUGCGUUGGAAACUGUAUAACUAGAGUACUGGAGAGGUAAGCGGAACUACAAGUGUAGAGGUGAAAUUCGUAGAUUUUUGUAGGAAUGCCGAUGGGGAAGCCAGCUUACUGGACAGAUACUGACGCUGAAUCGCGAAAGCGUGGGUAGCAACAGGAUUAUAUACCCUGGUAGUCCAAGGGCGAAAUUCCACCUUGUGAUUUCAAUCUUAUCAAUACCGUCGACCUCGAGGGGGGGGCCCGGUUCCCAAAAUAUAGAUUCCCUUUAUGAUGUGUUAAUUAAUUUCCUGCUUUUUGUGCACAUGCUUGCUGCUAUUGCAUGUGUGUGGUGUGUGUACCCUUCAUGCUGUCUGCUGUUCCCUGUCCUGCCUAUCCUCCCCCCCCUCCCUACUGUGUACCUUCUCCCUGUCUCUUUGUCUUUUGCCUCCCUGCUCUUGCUCUUUACCUGUUUUACUCUGUGUGUUCCUGUGUUAUCUUGUCUAUGCUGUUGUGCCCUGCUUGUUUUGUUUAUAUUUCUCUUUUUCUGUUUAUUCUUGUGUCUGUUGUGUGACCGCUAUGCCUGCCUUGCUGUGCUGAUAUGUCAGCUGCUCUG